AACACCAUGGCCUAAUGGAUAAGGCAGCGGAAGAAGGUUAGUUCGAAUUCUCUUCCUUCGCUGAUGUAGGUUCGAGUCCUACUGGUGUCC